rnacentral:rRNA from 1 species
CCUACGGGGGGCAGCAGUGGGGAAUAUUGGACAAUGGGGGGAACCCUGAUCCAGCCAUGCCGCGUGUGUGAAGAAGGCCCUCGGGUUGUAAAGCACUUUCAGUGAGGAAGAACGCCUGGUGGUUAAUACCCAUCAGGAAAGACAUCACUCACAGAAGAAGCACCGGCUAACUCCGUGCCAGCAGCCGCGGUAAUACGGAGGGUGCGAGCGUUAAUCGGAAUUACUGGGCGUAAAGCGCGCGUAGGUGGCUUGAUAAGCCGGUUGUGAAAGCCCCGGGCUCAACCUGGGAACGGCAUCCGGAACUGUCAAGCUAGAGUGCAGGAGAGGAAGGUAGAAUUCCCGGUGUAGCGGUGAAAUGCGUAGAGAUAGGGAGGAAUACCAGUGGCGAAGGCGGCCUUCUGGACUGACACUGACACUGAGGUGCGAAAGCGUGGGUAGCAAACAGGAUUAGAUACCCUUGUAGUC